ensembl:rRNA 5S_rRNA 5S ribosomal RNA
GCUUACGGCCAUACCACCCUGAGCGCGCCCGAUCUCGUCUGAUCUCGGAAGCUAAGCAGGGUCGGGCCUGGUUAGUACUUGGAUGGGAGACCGCCUGGGAAUACCAGGUGCUGUAAGCU